rnacentral:tmRNA from 1 species
GGGGCCGUAAUGGUUUCGACAGGGAUGCUGAAUAAAGGGUAGCGGGCAGAUGCGCCUUACAUCUAUAAAAAGGGCAAACUAAACACAAACGCAAACAAUAAUAAUUUUGCACUUGCCGCUUAAUGCGGCUGUUUCCCCCAAGUUGCCCCUCUAGGCUUUUGGGAAGCACAAAAAUAUAGAGGGUAACUGUACGGCAAAGCUGAUAACCGUGCUGUGACAAUCAGCCGAGGUUAUGCGCCUUUGUUUAUUUGCGGCUCAUAUACUUUGGUAUAAUGCAAUGAACUGCGCCCGGAGAAUUUCUUUUGGAUGUGUUUUUGGACGCGGGUUCGACUCCCGCCGGCUCCACCG